UCGACACCACAGCAUCUCCCUUCCCCCGCAGAACAUCCCCUCGCCACCACAGUGCCUCGCCUCCUGAUGGCGACGUCUCCCUCCCCAUCACAGUGCUUCUCCACGCAAUCAGAGCAUCUCCCCACGCAACCAGAGCAUCUCCCCAAGCCGGCGCAGCUACAGCAGGUCGAGGUCGCCCUCAUACAAGCGUGCCAGUGACGAGUCCCCCUACGCCAACGGGUAAGCUUUCAAUGCCUGAUCUUCAUCGUUCCUUGGCAUUCUAGUGGAGGCUAGGGGCUCACCGCUUCUGCCAUGCCGUGCAGCAACUCUGACGGGCGGGCCGAGCGCCGCAGCAGGAGCUGAGCGCCAGGGAAUGUCGUCUGUUCAAUGGACAAGCGCGCUUCCUCUGCAUCUGAGUAAAUGCUUCCCAACCAUCCCACUGCCCUGGGUUAGGACGUGGUUUAAUUUCCUGCAUGUCGCUCUAUAUUUUAUCAUGCUCGGCUUCUUCUCGUUGGUAAAAGUAUUUCUGAUUUUAAAGACUGGUUGGCUGUGACUGAGAUCUGUAAUCUCUGUUCUUCAUGUCUGUUGAUGAGGUCGUCGUCCCACCUAAAAGACUGCCCAGCCUUGCCGCGUCACCACCCUUUGACUCUGCUCCUCCCUCCUGGCCUCGUUCUUGCCACCUCCGCCGUAAAAGAGGAGCUCUCUCCGGCGCUCGCCCUCAGCCCUGCCCCAUAAAAACUCAUAGAAGAGGUCGGGGCGUGGGCUGCUCCAAGCGCGCCGGCAGGUAACUGGAAUCUGCUUUGAAAUCAGGUUCUUCACCUUCUCACUUGGCCAGCUACAGGGCCCCGGGAUCUGCUGGACAGCUCUCUCCCCAGCACCGUCGGCCCUCCAAAAGAUGACAAGGAACACACCUCCUCUGCGUCUUCUCAGUUCUGUCGGCGGCGCCAGAGGGGUUGACCAACCGGUGCCCAGUCCUUUCUGGGCAAGGAGGGAGAAAGUCGUCUCUUCUAAAAGGGGGGGGGGGGAGGGGAGCGUAGGAUUUCGCAGAGGAUUCAAUGCGGAAUUAUUCAAGAUUCGGUUCACGUAAAAUAUACAUUAUUUAGUUACACAUUCAU
rnacentral:lncRNA from 1 species